GGUAGGGUGCCCGAGUGGUUAAAGGGAGCAGACUGUAAAUCUGCCGGCGAAUGCCUACGUAGGUUCGAACCCUACCCCUACCA
rnacentral:tRNA from 1 species